CAGCGGCGGCGCGGGCUCGUGUCACCGCGGCGGAGCCGCCGGGACCAAGGGACACAGAGUAGGACAACUGCCGAGGAAGGGGGACAUUGAGGCAGCUUGCAGAAACACACAUGGAGAAACAGAACCAAAGAGCAGGGUAACCAGCAAACCAGGCAGUGGAGGCAGGGAUGGGUACCCAUCCCGAGAUCUUGGGUGAUACCAAAGGCGGCACAUCCGGAAGGCUGGUUAUACCUAGCGUGGAGGGGAGAGGGAGAACUGUUUCUUCCGUUCAAUAAAGCAAACCCUUCAACAAGA